CACUCCUACGGGAGGCAGCAGUGGGGAAUAUUGGACAAUGGGCGCAAGCCUGAUCCAGCCAUGCCGCGUGAGUGAUGAAGGCCCUAGGGUUGUAAAGCUCUUUCACCGGUGAAGAUAAUGACGGUAACCGGAGAAGAAGCCCCGGCUAACUUCGUGCCAGCAGCCGCGGUAAUACGAAGGGGGCUAGCGUUGUUCGGAUUUACUGGGCGUAAAGCGCACGUAGGCGGACUAUUAAGUCAGGGGUGAAAUCCCGGGACUCAACCCCGGAACUGCCUUUGAUACUGGUAGUCUUGAGUUCGAGAGAGGUGAGUGGAAUUCCGAGUGUAGAGGUGAAAUUCGUAGAUAUUCGGAGGAACACCAGUGGCGAAGGCGGCUCACUGGCUCGAUACUGACGCUGAGGUGCGAAAGCGUGGGGAGCAAACAGGAUUAGAAACCCCGGUAGUCCCAUGAU
rnacentral:rRNA from 1 species